GCCCGGAAGAGGAAGAAUAGAGGGCCUUAGAGUAGUGGGAAUGGGAACAUGGAGGAAAACCUAACUUCCUUGGUUUUUUGCUUGUCGUGUUGGAAGUGAUAAUUUUGUUUGGUGUUUUCCGAUGCCUCCCAUUCCUAUUGUUCUAAAGCACUCCUUCCUCUUCAUUUUUUGG
rfam:Hordeum vulgare subsp. vulgare, WGS project CAJW01000000 data, contig: morex_contig_326179